GACAGAGGUGCCGAGCGUUAGGCGGAAUUACUGGGCGUAAAGCGUGCGCAGGCGGUUUUGUAAGUCUGUCGUGAAAUCCCCGGGCUCAACCUGGGAAUUGCGAUGGAGACUGCAAGGCUAGAAUCUGGCAGAGGGGGGUAGAAUUCCACGUGUAGCAGUGAAAUGCGUAGAGAUGUGGAGGAACACCGAUGGCGAAGGCAGCCCCCUGGGUCAAGAUUGACGCUCAUGCACGAAAGCGUGGGGAGCAAACAGG
rnacentral:rRNA from 1 species